rnacentral:rRNA from 1 species
GAUGAAUGCUGGCGGCGUGCCUAAUACAUGCAAGUCGAGCGAACAGACGAGGAGCUUGCUCCUCUGACGUUAGCGGCGGACGGGUGAGUAACACGUGGAUAACCUACCUAUAAGACUGGGAUAACUUCGGGAAACCGGAGCUAAUACCGGAUAAUAUAUUGAACCGCAUGGUUCAAUAGUGAAAGACGGUUUUGCUGUCACUUAUAGAUGGAUCCGCGCCGCAUUAGCUAGUUGGUAAGGUAACGGCUUACCAAGGCAACGAUGCGUAGCCGACCUGAGAGGGUGAUCGGCCACACUGGAACUGAGACACGGUCCAGACUCCUACGGGAGGCAGCAGUAGGGAAUCUUCCGCAAUGGGCGAAAGCCUGACGGAGCAACGCCGCGUGAGUGAUGAAGGGCUUCGGAUCGUAAAACUCUGUUAUUAGGGAAGAACAAAUGUGUAAGUAACUAUGCACGUCUUGACGGUACCUAAUCAGAAAGCCACGGCGAACUACGU